rnacentral:rRNA from 1 species
AUUGAACGCUGGCGGCAGGCCUAACACAUGCAAGUCGAGCGAGCGGCGGACGGGUGAGUAAUGUAUGGGGACUGCCCGAUCGAGGGGGAUAACUACUGGAAACGGUGGCUAAUACCGCAUACUAUCGGAUAACCCAGAUGGGAUUAGCUAGUAGGUGGGGUAAAGGCUCACCUAGGCGACGAUCUCUAGCUGGUCUGAGAGGAGGAUCAUCCGCACUGGAACUGAUACAAGGCCCAGACUCCUGCGGAGGCAGCAGUGGGGAAUAUUGCACAAUGGGCUCAAGCCUGAUGCAGCCAUGCCGCGUGUAUGAAGAAGGCCUUCGGGUUGUAAAGUACUUUCAGUCGGGAGGCGUUACCGACAGAAGAAGCACCGGCUAACUCCGUGCCAGCAGCCGCGGUAAUUC